UACGUAGGGUGCGAGCGUUAAUCGGAAUUACUGGGCGUAAAGCGUGCGCAGGCGGUUCGUUGUGUCUGAUGUGAAAGCCCCGGGCUCAACCUGGGAAUGGCAUUGGAAACUGGCGAGCUAGAGUGUGGCAGAGGGGGGUGGAAUUCCGCGUGUAGCAGUGAAAUGCGUAGAGAUGCGGAGGAACACCGAUGGCGAAGGCAGCCCCCUGGGCUGACACUGACGCUCAUGCACGAAAGCGUGGGGAGCAAACAGG
rnacentral:rRNA from 1 species